ensembl:lncRNA
UGCUUUCAAAGAGGUUUAUUGAAAGAAAUAAUUUUCAAAUUUUAUAAAGAUCAACCAUUUGCUUAUGCUAUCACACAAUCAGAACCUGGAGCAUCACCGUUUCCCCUCCAACCUUUUGCAGUCUUUGAUAUGAAUCAUUAGUGCUUUGGACAACCCAGAUUUUCCUAAAAAAGUUGGGUUUAUGUGUAACAUGUAGAUUUGCUGCAGUUCAGCACCUGGACUCUUACUGAAGAGCUGUGCUGUUGGAACACUUGCAGAAUGUUUGUCAUUGUCCUAAUGAAUGUGGACAAUGACAAAGGCCUUCAUUGAAAUAGAUAUCAUCAGGAUGGCAGCAGGCCCUCUGGAAACAUUGUAACCAUGCUUUCUUUUUAAACCCAAUCGUGUGACUGGUUGCCUGACAUAUGUAGGAGCUAGACAGGUUAAAAAACUGUUCAGUAUUUGAUGUCAUGUUUGUGGUUUCAAUUCUGUUUUUGUUUUUUACAUGUUACACAUUUUCCCAAUUUUGUAGAAACGGGUUUUCAGAACUGCUUCACUGGCGAGCUUAGCGUUACUGGUUUAUGGCUAAGCAGUAUUCCAUAGACUGCCAGAGUACACAAGAUUAAAAAGUACUGGUUUUGAUGGGACAUGUCAUGACUUCUAAGCAAGAUGCGUUAAAGAUAUGCUAUUGCUAAGAGGUUUCACCACGUCACACUUAAACAGCAAGAUGUGGUCCAAAAAUGCAUUUCAUGUAGGUGUACUUUAUUUACCUCCCCAGGCGAGACAGCCCGGAGACCAGAUUUGGGGAAUCAAGUGCUUCAGGAUAUUUUGGAAAUGGUCAACAGUUCUGCCCAGGACUGCCACACAUGCAUCACUCUGUUACAGUGGUUUGCAACCAAAGAUACAAGUAUACAAUAUAAUAUUGUAUCAUCUAAGAUCACUAUGUUUGCAGCUAUUCAGUACCCCGCUCUUCCAUGACCUGGAAGUAGUAUGUAUAUAUGUAUUAUAUAAAUAACAACUCUCCCGUUACCUGGAAGAAUUCAGUGUUUCACUCUACACACAGUCUGCAAGCAUACAGCAAAAACCAGCUGCUUUGCACAUCAAACCUUCUCUUUGCCGGAUGAUUUUUCAGUGCAGCAUGCAAGUAAAAAUGUGUACAAUAUUAAAAGUCUUUAGCUUCAUCACCCUCAUCACCGUCAUCGUCGUCACAUCCAUUUUUACCAUGGACAGCUCCUUGUUUUUUUAAAAUAAGAAAUCAGAGCAGUCUUUAUUUAUUUUGUAUAUUUUCCUCUAUAGUAUUCUGCAUUUCAAAGCAUGCCAAAGAAAGUUCGGUUUCUGCAUAGUGCUGGCUAUACAAGUGCCAAAGAGUUUGAUUCCUGUACAAGUAAUAGAAGGUGGUAUUUACAGGCAGAAUAGAUCCAGUGUUGUGUAAACGGUACCAAACCCCCCCUCCCUCCUUCAAGUGCGCAAAAUAUCUACAAAUAGCAAGUCUGUGAGAACUCAUAGAAAGUAGAAGAGAGCUGAAAAAAGCUCAGCAGUAUGGAAGAGCUGUUAAGGGGAGGCAUGUGUAUUAAGUGCGCAGGCAGUUCUUAUCUUUGUGUGUGUGUGUGUGUGUGUGUGUGUGUGUGUGUGUGUCUAAAUGCAAAGGGGAAGAAGCACUUGCCCCCACAAGUCAAAAACUGCCCACAAACCAAAACAUCCCCCCGCCCCCUCCCUUGGUGUCUUUUUUCUUGGAAAGUGCACCCUCUAUUGUUAUAAUAUGCAGUAUGCAUACAUAAAUGUGUCCUCUAGCACUAAGGUCUACCGUCACAUACAAGGUCAGGGAGGAAGAGUCGACAACAACCACAUUCUAGUUUUGAGGUCAUAGUUCUGAAUGUAAAGAUACAGUUCAGGCCACUAGGUGACUGUCAUUGAACACUAACAGAAGACUCACUACAGUAUGAGAUGGCAAUGGGAGCCCACUGCUGAAAGACACCACUGACUGCACUGUCAAAAAAAGAAAGAAAGAAAGUGUUGUAAAGCAGCCAGGUCCACUGGGUCGAGGAUAGUUCUUUGUUUCCUGGAGAGCACAGGCAGGGACUGCUGGUAGGAACAAACCAAACAAAACUGGUGAUGGCAGUGAAACCAGGUACGGUGCAGUAGUAAGGAGAGCUCAGCAGAUUUGGUCAGUGUCACCUUAACAGCUUUAAACACCCGCGAUGCUUUCACUCACGCUUCGACUAUAGAAUACUGAAAAGAAGGAAAAAGCUGCAGUCCAUCUGAAAGAAGCUGGAAUCCCUGUUUCCAGAGUGCCGUCACUAAACAGCAUCAAUCGUCCUAACAAACCCAUCACGCCCUCGCCAAUCAAGUCACUUUAAAAAGAUCUUUGUUUACAGUUACGCUCAAUCCAGCUGCAUUUCUGCACUUAACUCAAAUGACGACAAUCUUUUGGGAGUGAAAGGGCUGGAUUAGAGUUUACAAUGUCACCAGCAGUGGUUUGUUCACAGCACGGGCUUGCUUUGGUUCAAACUUAAAGUGCACCUUUACGAAGCGGCUGCACACGCACGGCCCAAUCACCGCACAGACACCGGCAAUUUCCACUAACGGGUGAGAGAUACCGAAUGUGGCCUCGACUGCAGGCAGGAGUUGAUUGAGAAUUUUUUAGUGUACAAUAAUGUUAAUUAAAUAUGGAUAAAUACUGAAUAAAUAUCGACACAGAGUGAACAAAAGAAUGACAGAGCACAGAGAGCCGUUACAUGCUGAAACAGUGAAAAACCCACAGACACAUAAUCCUACGACAAUAAAUAAACACCGUAGACCCACAGUGAAAUACAAUCCUCACACUUCUGCAUUAAAGGGGAACUCUGCUGAAAUGUGACCGCGCAUCCAAUUUGUUUCUUUCUGAUUGGUUGGUUUUGAGUUCUUUGAGACAAAGGAAAAUCAGACCUGUGACAUCGGCGACACAUUCCUGAGUCUUUAUUAAACAUCUGCGCUGUUUAAAAAUAAUAAUGAUAAUAAAGUGCUUUAAAUUCAAAUGGACGUGGUUAAGCUGCUACAAGUCUCAACUCUUUAAAGGACUAUUGCACUUCAACAACAAGCUUGCCCUCUUCCUCCAUUACAACUUUUGAUUUUGUAGUACAGGAAAGGGUCUUUCCAUGUAACUGCGUAUAAGGGAAGACACAUUUUGAAGACGUUAUGGGUGUUUGUUUUCCUUCAUCUUGAGAACUUAAAAAGACUGUGCAAAAGUGACCAUUAAUGCAGAAAAACAGCCUGGUUUUUUCCCCGAAUAUACAGGAGUAUCCAUCACCUUUUAUGAUUUUAAACACCUGUCUGCCCAGAGCUAUCUGGGUGUGCUCCAGGGUGUAUCUCAUAUCCCUGGACUGGUGUUGUUCCUGUGUCAUCACUGUAAUGUUAGUCCAGGUUUGUUGGUUUGUUAGUGACAGUUUUUAAAAUCAUUAGCUAACUUCGUGGGGUAAUGCUAGCUGAAUACUCAGACGAUGUCAUUGGUCAGAUGCAAUGUUGAUGGGACCAACAUCAUUGCCCCUCCCUGAGCCUGGUUCUGCUGGAGGUUUCUUCCUGUUAAAAGGGAGUUUUUCCUUCCCACUGUCGCCAAAGUGCUGCUCAUAGGGGGUCAUAUGAUUGUUGGGUUUUUCUCUGUAUGUAUUAUUGUAGGGUCGACCUCACAAUAUAAGCGCCUUGAGGCGACUGUUGUUGCGAUUUGGUGCUGUAUGAAUCAAAUUGAAUGAUAAUGCAGGAUGAACACCAACAGGGAUAUCAGAUUGAACAAGAUCCAGACUCCACCUUUACUCCAUAUGACCAGUAAUAUCUUUUAGAGUGUAUGCGUCAUCUUCUAUAUCACGUUAGGAAAAGUGUUGCUGUUUAUUCCUUCAUAGAUGUUCUCUUUUUGACACACAGUUUGUAAGCUCAGUGCACGCCAUUCUCCUUAGGCCAUUUACAGUAAUUAACGGUGAAUCCCAGACUCAUCCUCGUGACCCUUACAGUUCUAGUUAUACGUGCUUCUGGACAUCUGGAUAUGAAUGAUUUGGCAGUAUCGAGCUUUCAGUCAUUUCUGUGACGUGUUCUUUUUCUGGGAUGCAAUGACUGCACAACAAACAUUGUGAAGAGUAGGAAAUUUACCUUUUGUAGACAUUCCUUUGAGCCAUAAAUGCAACAGACUGACUAACACAGUACAAUGAGAGAUUUCAAGAAGCUCGGCGUACAUCUGAGGAAGAGUCAGAGAAUCUCUUGGGGUCACUUCUAAAGAACUGCGCUCUGCUUGAGGUCGGACUCAAACUUUUACGCUCAGCUAAGAGGAAACUGUAACGUGCUCGAACAUCACUGUCACUGUCUGUAACUAAGCCAGUUUGCAAGCAGAAUGACAAAUUGUUGUCCAAGAAGGAAGCCCUUCACCAUUAAACUUGGCGAAAUUUACCCGAGGCUUGCUUGGAGAAACACCAAGAACACCACCAAGUGUUCAGCAUGGUGGUAACAUCAGUUGAACAUUGAACAGCGUGAAUAUUACAAUGAAGGAAACAGACCGUGUCACAUUUUUUCCACAACACCUCAAACCAUCAGUUGAAAAUUGAAUGUGACCAGGUGUUUCAACAGGGUAGUAACCUAAACAUAAACUAAAGCAAGUGAGAUAAACUUUUCCAAAGUCCUGCCCACAAACCAGUGGAAACCGGACCAUGCUUAAGAAUGCAACCAUUUUAGCUGGACUCUACUAAUUCUUCAUAGAAAAGUUGUCAAAUAUCCAACCAGAUUUAUUUUGUGGUUCUACGUCCCAGCUGACCUCGGGACUGGAAAUGUCACGAUCCUCGAUGACAUUCACAUCACUGUUGUGUGCGUCACCUGAUGCGUUAGGUUACAGCACGGGGUUAGGGUUAAUCAAAACUGCUUUAGAGUCCACACGCAGCGCUGCAGCUCUGUAGCUCUAUUCCUGAGCCAGGGAAAGAGUAGCCCAAAGAAACCUUUGAAAGCCCAGUAUUGCCUUUACAUUCACGUCCAUGAUGAGCGUCGGUAAACUUUAAAACCACAUCUGUACGUGUCUGUCUACAGUAUGGCUCAUGCGAAAGAAGCACUUAUAAACAGAAGGAAAUGGCAUUAUUCAUUCAACUGGUUACUGAUAACAUGUUUACUGUUGCUUUGAACUGAUGAAGUGCAGCCUGAAGUGCUGUGGAUGGAUAUUUAAGAUGGGCGGCAGCGCCAACAGUUUGAAGCUACGCGUCUUCUUCCCUUGGUCGAUAACUGCACUGCAUGUAAGGUUAAAUGGAACCAGACACAUCUCCUGAUGUACCUGAACAGAGUCAAUCCUGAAUCAAAGGACUGUCAAAGAGUACAUUUCUAAUGAGCUAGAACAAAACUGGUUUGUUUCUAAACGUAAUGCAUGCUGUGUUUCUAAACUUAUCACAUGGAUAAAGCAGUGGUGUGAUGAAGUAAUUACAGCCUUUUCAUACCUCUGCAAGAAUCUGCAUUAAAAGUUUGUGACAAGGAUGAGAUGUUGGGACUCCAAAGUAGGAGGUAAUUGAAAUAAUGCUGUAAAAUAACUGUCAGGUGCAGUUUCUCCUUCCUGUGUUCUCUGCAGCUGUAGAUGUCAACAUUGUAAAGGGUUUGUGCUAUCAAUUCAAACACUAAACUGUCAUUUGCCUGUUUAAUGGAGGUGUUCACAUCUUCUUUUUUUCUUUCUAGACAAAAACUUGUCUUGGAAAUUAAAAACCAACGACCCUUGACAGUGCAUGGAUGCAAACGUGCUAAUCACCAGGCUCUGCAGACAGAAAGACAAAAACAAGGACGAACGCACACAUAAAAAGCUUUGGACCUGAACUUAUCACACACGUAGUAAGAUUAAAUCACACUCGCUCCUGUCGUCUUGCCAGUGUUUGCAUAUUAUACUGUACAUAGAAUAAUGGCGCAUUCGGCUGGUCGUUGUAAACUGGCAAACUUGUGUAAUUACGGCUCACAUAACAAACGCUUAUGUACAUAGUAGAAGCUUUCUGGGUGCAUGCUUAGGAGAAAAAGGAACCAAUGAAAUCUGAGGUAGCAAAUUCAACCUACGAUAAACUAGAAUCACUCGACAUGUUUUCCCUUUAUGCAUGAGCUUUGAUGUGACGUUACACAUCCAAGUAUCCAGUCACUGCUGACUUCAUUGUGUCAAAAAUAAUCCAACACAACUUUGCUGUAAGGUCACAACUCGUAGCUCGUGAAAUUAGUAAGCUGUUUUUUGUGUGUUUUUUAUUUUUUGGUGCACUGUUCUUGUGGAAAACUUGUAAGUUUGCCAGUUUACCUGUUUGUGACGCUGCCUAAGCGUGCCAAAUGUUCUUCACUCCCUAGCAAAUCUGUACAAUGUUUAUGACAGGGCAGCUGAUAUGUUCAUCAAGAAAAUUCAUGGCUUUUUACCCUCCAGUUCCCACCCCUGAGGUGCAAACCAGCCAAUCCAGUGUGCUCUUGGGAAGCGUGGAACAUCAGCUCCACCUCUUGGGUGUAGGACUUCAGGGGGAAGGAACCAAUGACAGGACGAGACAGCAGGACUCCUGUUAGGCCAGCUAACACUACAAUUUACCAGUUUGAGAGUUUAUCGGAAGCGCCAUGGACAUAUAGAAUAGAAUAAUCAUCGUAUCAAUAGGAUUUUCAGUGCAAGACGUAAAUGGCUACUUGUUUCGUCAUUCUGUUCAAUGUUGUCUUCGAUGGUACUUGUCAGUCAUCCAACACUGGAUACAGCAGUAAAGGGAUUCUUCUACAAGUCAGCAGUCGUUUAUAUGUAAGUCUGAAAAAAGCGACAUCCUAAGAAGGACGACUGAGAGGUCCAGACCAGACUAUGUUCACUCAGUGUGUGGUUUUGGUUAAAGGUCGUACCAUUGUGGGGCUCAGAAAGCUCCAAAUGUUUCCCGAGGAGAGGGGAAACAUUUGGAGAUAAUGAAAGGCCUCAACCCCCUGCCUGGCUUCACGUUCUCUGGGCAGUGAGUCCUUAUUGAGAGGUUGACAGUGAAGAUACAGUAGCUGGGGGCCCUAAAAGGCUAAGUGGCAGGUACAGUAGGUGUCUCCUGAAAUCCAAAGUGCCACGUGGAGCGGUGGAACCAGAAGGAACUUAAAGAGUUGCUGAAUGCAGCAGUCUCAUUUUCUCCGUGUCCCUGCCUUGAGCCCACUCGCCUUCCCCUCAUCCCCGUGUCUUCUUUAGCUCCCCCCUGGGUCGGAGCUGUGUCUCUGUGGUGUCCGUGAGUCCAGGGGUGUCUGUGGUUCUUGGAGCGAUAGCCUCCGUGGGGUUUCAGGAUCCAGUGGUGAGACUCCUGUUGCAGCAGCUGUCCCAGCACCCAUGCAUACCCCUGAACCAAAAUCUAACCCUGCUCCUAAGCUAGAAACUGCACCCUCCCCACUCCCUAACUCUAAACCUAGACCUGAUCCUGAACCUGCCACUGAAACGAC